UCCCAUGGUUGGAUCACUUAGAACUUUGC
rnacentral:piRNA from 1 species